AACGAACGCUGGCGGCAGGCUUAACACAUGCAAGUCGAGCGCCCCGCAAGGGGAGCGGCAGACGGGUGAGUAACGCGUGGGAAUCUACCUUUUGCUACGGAAUAACUCAGGGAAACUUGUGCUAAUACCGUAUGUGCCCUUCGGGGGAAAGAUUUAUCGGCAAAGGAUGAGCCCGCGUUGGAUUAGGUAGUUGGUGGGGUAAUGGCCUACCAAGCCUACGAUCUCUAGCUGGUCUGAGAGGAUGAUCAGCCACACUGGAACUGAGACACGGUCCAGACUCCUACGGGAGGCAGCAGUGGGGAAUAUUGGACAAUGGGCGCGAGCCUGAUCCAGCCAUGCCGCGUGAGUGACGAAGGCCUUAGGGUUGUAAAGCUCUUUUGCAGGGGAAGAUAAUGACGGUACCCUGAGAAUAAGUUCCGGCUAACUUCGUGCCAGCCGCCGCGGUAA
rnacentral:rRNA from 1 species